rnacentral:rRNA from 1 species
AAUGAACGCUGGCGGCAGGCCUAACACAUGCAAGUCGAACGGAUCCUUCGGGAUUAGUGGCGGACGGGUGAGUAACGCGUGGGAACAUACCCUUUGGUACGGAAUAGCCUCGGGAAACUGGGAGUAAUACCGUAUGUGGUCGAGAGACGAAAGAUUUAUCGCCAAAGGAUUGGCCCGCGUUGGAUUAGGUAGUUGGUGGGGUAAUGGCCUACCAGGCCGACGAUCCAUAGCUGGUUUGAGAGGAUGAUCAGCCACACUGGGACGGAGACACGGCCCAGACUCCUACGGGAGGCAGCAGUGGGGAAUCUUAGACAAGGGGGGAAACCCUGAUCUAGCCCUGCCGCGUGAUCGAUGAAGGCCUUAGGGUUGUAAAGAUCUUUCAGGUGGGAAGAUAAUGACUGUACCACCAGAAGAAGCCCCGGCUAACUCCGUGCCAGCCGCCGCAGUAA